rnacentral:rRNA from 1 species
UACGAAGGGUGCAAGCGUUAAUCGGAAUUACUGGGCGUAAAGCGUGCGCAGGCGGUUGUGCAAGACAGAUGUGAAAUCCCCGGGCUUAACCUGGGAACUGCAUUUGUGACUGCACGGCUAGAGUGUGUCAGAGGGGGGUAGAAUUCCACGUGUAGCAGUGAAAUGCGUAGAUAUGUGGAGGAAUACCGAUGGCGAAGGCAGCCCCCUGGGAUAACACUGACGCUCAUGCACGAAAGCGUGGGGAGCAAACAGG